CAGCAGCCACGGUAAAACAGAGGGUGCGAGCGUUAAUCGGAUUUACUGGGCGUAAAGCGUGCGUAGGCGGCUUCUUAAGUCGGAUGUGAAAUCCCUGAGCUUAACUUAGGAAUUGCAUUCGAUACUGGGAAGCUAGAGUAUGGGAGAGGAUGGUAGAAUUCCAGGUGUAGCGGUGAAAUGCGUAGAGAUCUGGAGGAAUACCGAUGGCGAAGGCAGCCAUCUGGCCUAAUACUGACGCUGAGGUACGAAAGCAUGGGGAGCAAACAGGAUUAGAGACCCCCGUAGUCCCUGUCUCUUAUAC
rnacentral:rRNA from 1 species